rnacentral:pre_miRNA from 1 species
AGUGGGAUAGCUGGGUCAAAUAGUGGUUCCAUUCCAAGUUUUCCAAGGAGUGUCCACACUGCUUUCCAUAUUGGCUGCACCAAUUUGCAGUUCCACCAGCAAU